AUGAACGCUGGCGGCGUGCCUAAUCCCUGCCAGUCGAGCGAACAGACGAGGAGCUUGCUCCUCUGACGUUAGCGGCGGACGGGUGAGUAACACGUGGAUAACCUACCUAUAAGACUGGGAUAACUUCGGGAAACCGGAGCUAAUACCAGAUAAUAUAUUGAACCGCAUGGUUCAAUAGUGAAAGACGGUUUUGCUGUCACUUAUAGAUGGAUCCGCGCCGCAUUAGCUAGUUGGUAAGGUAACGGCUUACCAAGGCGACGAUGCGUAGCCGACCUGAGAGGGUGAUCGGCCACACUGGAACUGAGACACGGUCCAGACUCCUACGGGAGGCAGCAGUAGGGAAUCUUCCGCAAUGGGCGAAAGCCUGACGGAGCAACGCCGCGUGAGUGAUGAAGGUCUUCGGAUCGUAAAACUCUGUUAUUAGGGAAGAACAAAUGUGUAAGUAACUAUGCACGUCUUGACGGUACCUAAUCAGAAAGCCACGGCUAACUACGUG
rnacentral:rRNA from 1 species